rnacentral:rRNA from 1 species
GAUGAACGCUGGCGGCGUGCCUAAUACAUGCAAGUCGAGCGAACGGACGAGAAGCUUGCUUUUCUGAUGUUAGCGGCGGACGGGUGAGUAACACGUGGAUAACCUACCUAUAAGACUGGGAUAACUUCGGGAAACCGGAGCUAAUACCGGAUAAUAUAUUGAACCGCAUGGUUCAAUAGUGAAAGACGGUCUUGCUGUCACUUAUAGAUGGAUCCGCGCUGCAUUAGCUAGUUGGUAAGGUAACGGCUUACCAAGGCAACGAUGCAUAGCCGACCUGAGAGGGUGAUCGGCCACACUGGAACUGAGACACGGUCCAGACUCCUACGGGAGGCAGCAGUAGGGAAUCUUCCGCAAUGGGCGAAAGCCUGACGGAGCAACGCCGCGUGAGUGAUGAAGGUCUUCGGAUCGUAAAACUCUGUUAUUAGGGAAGAACAUAUGUGUAAGUAACUGUGCACAUCUUGACGGUACCUAAUCAGAAAGCCACGGCUAACUACGUG